rnacentral:lncRNA from 1 species
AAAAAUAGGGGUAAUUUAGGUAGUUUAUUAAAAAAAAAUUAACUAUUGCUACCUACUUUAUGAGUAGUAAAAUUACAAAUACGUCGAUUAUUGAAAAGAUUUGACUUCUCUGCAAUUCGUUUUAAGCAUUUUGAUGAUGUAAAACGUUUAUAUUGUAUAUCUCAUUGAAAAGUUUAAUACAAUAAAAAAUAUAUUAAUCGGAUAAACUCAAUAGUCGAUCAAUGUCAAUUUAUAUAAAGAUAAAUAAUUAUAAUCUUAUGUGACACACUUAUUUAUUAAGUUAAGUUAUUAAACAAAACUAAACGGAUAAUAAAUUGUGUCCAAUUAAUAUAAAUUUUAAUACUACUAAUAUUCAUGAUAAAAUUUACGAUAUUAAUAAUUUAGAUCAUUAAAAUUGAUAAAAAAACGAGGCUCAAAAUAUUUUGACUGUACCUGUGUAGUCCAUUUCAUGGACUGCAGGGAAGCGAAAGUCCUUUGUUGGAAAUGUUUCAUGAUCCAUGUGGAGGAAUGGAGUAGGAUGAAUGAUGAUGUGCGUUCCUGGAUCGCGCUGGGCAACUCACGGCCACUUAAUGAAGGGGUGUGUGAGGGUCACUCCUCUUGUGUCCCUCUCUCCUAAGUGUGCAUUUGGAGUAUCCAAAAUGGGGUACCCAUAGCAUUUUUCCUUAAUGAAGUACUGGAAAGUCGUAUCACCUCUCAUUGUCAGCCACCCACCCUGGCAAACUAUCUGUAGAGUUUUUUAAUUUUAGUAAUUUUUUUUUAAUGUUUGAUUAUAAUUUUAUAAUUUUCGAUUUCUCUUAACGAGAGGAGUUCUAAAAUAUUAAAAAAAUCACCUAAUUUGAAAAAAAAAUUAACUAAAAAUAAAAAUAAUUAUUUUUACAUGAAUUAUUUUCAAGCAUACUAAAAAAUUAUGAAAAAAACUGAAAAUUAAAUUAGCUAAAAACGCAAGUUGGGUGAAUAGAUAGUUUGCCCGACCCCCCUAAUGAAAAACAGCUAAAUUAAGUUUACCUAUGUGAUUUUGAUUGAAAAAAAAUUAAAUUUACAUAUCAAAUCAAUAAAAAUUUAUUAUGAAGUGAUAUUUACGUGGAUUCAUACCAUAUAUGUUAUUGAAAUACUCUUAAAAGUAAAGGAUCAAUAAAGAAUUUUUAAAACCUCACUCACAUCUAGACACAUUGUAGAAAUCCAAAAACUAGAGGGAUAUAAUAAAAUUUUGAAAAACUUGGGAGGGGGCCAUGCCCCCCUCGGUCCGGCCCUCCCCUCCCUUCGCCCCUAUGCCGGUUCCUUACCGCCCCAUAAAAAUAACUAAAUUAGUUUAAAAGAAUAAGUUGAGUGAAUAGAUAUUAGGUGCCUAUUCAUACCGUCCCAUGAAAAUAGCUAAUUUAUUUAUAAAAAAAAAACAAGUUGGGUGAAAUAGAGAGUUGGUGCCUGCCCCUAACCGCGCCGCCCAUGCAUUGAUUUAGUAGUUGUUGGCACAAGUCAAUUUUUCGUUUUAUUGAUACGUUGGCCCCGAUGGUUUACGAAAGGAACGUUUGUUUGUUUGUUCCAAUUGAAGGGAAAUUUGAAGGGACCUCAGCAUCAGUGAGGCUCACAUGCAUUUGCGGUGGCCAGGCACUCGUACGUUUGGUAUUUUGAUAAAGACAAUAGAUAUCAUUUCAACGAGCAUAAGUUUCAUUUUGUAUCUUUCAACUUUUAUUUAGAUUUUUUUUUCGUUCCUCAUGUUUUAAUUUGAACAUAUUUAACUUUGAAUUUCAGAGGCGUUUGCGGUAUGAACCCUCUGUCCACGUCCGUUAGAAUCUGUGGAAUGAAAACGCUAUGUGCUACGCAUAUGACCUAUACAAAGGAUAAAAAAAAUAUAUUUAAAUGAUUUUUCUAGGGAUAAAAAUAUUUUUUUCUCGUCUUUAGUGAGUUUUUAUCUAAAUUAGAUAAAAAAAAAAUAUAUUUUCGGACUCCUCUUAUAAACAAAAACCAGAAAAGUAUAAGAUUUUAAUUAAAUGGUAAAAAAAUUACUAAAGGCAAUUUUUUUUUAUGUUUAUGUUAAUUUGAGAACUCUAGGGUGGUCAUCGCAUGACACAUUUCUAUUUCAGUCUAUAAAUUCUGGAUUUGGACGGAAGAUCCACAUUUGUAAUCAUUUCUAAAGUUCAGUGCGUAAUAUAUUCAAAUUAAAACAUGAAAGAUAAAAAUAAAAUAUGAGUGAAAGUUUAAGAUUGCAAAAUAAAAAUUACCCUUUCAACUAAUGUCUCUAUCAUCUAAACAUAGAUUGGAUAUUUCCAGGAACGUUCAGGAUGAGGGCCCAAACAAAUUGAGAAGAAUUGUGUUUACCCGUCAAUCUAUUCGUGAAAAUACACGAGUUUCAUUGUUUUUUACUAUUUUUAGUGGAUUCCAUUCAUUUUCAUCAAUCAAAAACUAGAUAAUUUUGGUCAAAAAUAUAUUGCUUCCUUCCUAGAACGGAAAUACUGAGGGUUUGAGUGGGUUUUACCCCUUAAAAAGGUAGCAUCGUGCUACU